rnacentral:rRNA from 1 species
UGACGAGUGGCGGACGGGUGAGUAAUGCUUGGGAACUUGCCUUUGCGAGGGGGAUAACAGUUGGAAACGACUGCUAAUACCGCAUAAUGUCUUCGGACCAGACGGGGCUUCGGCUCCGGCGCAAAGAGAGGCCCAAGUGAGAUUAGCUAGUUGGUAAGGUAACGGCUUACCAAGGCGACGAUCUCUAGCUGUUCUGAGAGGAAGAUCAGCCACACUGGGACUGAGACACGGCCCAGACUCCUACGGGAGGCAGCAGUGGGGAAUAUUGCACAAUGGGGGAAACCCUGAUGCAGCCAUGCCGCGUGUGUGAAGAAGGCCUUCGGGUUGUAAAGCACUUUCAGUUGUGAGGAAAAGUUAGUAGUUAAUACCUGCUAGCCGUGACGUUAACAACAGAAGAAGCACCGGCUAACUCCGUGCCAGCAGCCGCGGUAAUACGGAGGGUGCGAGCGUUAAUCGGAAUUACUGGGCGUAAAGCGCACGCAGGCGGUUUGUUAAGCUAGAUGUGAAAGCCCCGGGCUCAACCUGGGAUGGUCAUUUAGAACUGGCAGACUAUAGUCUUGGAGAGGGGAGUGGAAUUCCAGGUGUAGCGGUGAAAUGCGUAGAUAUCUGGAGGAACAUCAGUGGCGAACGCGACUCCCUGGCCAAGGACUGACGCUCAUGUGCGAAAGUGUGGGUAGCGAACAUGAUUAGAUACCCUGGUAGUCCACAGCGUAUACGCUGUCUACUAGCUGUGUGUGCCUUU